ensembl:snoRNA Gm24395 predicted gene, 24395
ACUGCCCCUAGAGGCAUUUCAGGCUCUGCUGUGUCACAUGGAUGUCAGUAGGUGGCAGAGAGGAGAGAGGCUUUGUCUAUGCUCAGUGUUCUGACCUAUGGACAUCUGAAGGACAGUCACUGAAA